rnacentral:rRNA from 2 species
UACGGAGGGGGUUAGCGUUGUUCGGAAUUACUGGGCGUAAAGCGUACGUAGGCGGAUCAGAAAGUAAGGGGUGAAAUCCCAGGGCUCAACCCUGGAACUGCCUCUUAAACUCCUGGUCUUGAGUUCGAGAGAGGUGAGUGGAAUUCCGAGUGUAGAGGUGAAAUUCGUAGAUAUUCGGAGGAACACCAGUGGCGAAGGCGGCUCACUGGCUCGAUACUGACGCUGAGGUACGAAAGUGUGGGGAGCAAACAGG